UACGAAGGGGGCUAGCGUUGCUCGGAAUCACUGGGCGUAAAGCGCACGUAGGCGGCUUUUUAAGUCAGGGGUGAAAUCCCGGAGCUCAACUCCGGAACUGCCUUUGAUACUGAAGAUCUUGAGUUCGGGAGAGGUGAGUGGAACUGCGAGUGUAGAGGUGAAAUUCGUAGAUAUUCGCAAGAACACCAGUGGCGAAGGCGGCUCACUGGCCCGAUACUGACGCUGAGGCACGAAAGCGUGGGGAGCAAACAGG
rnacentral:rRNA from 1 species